AACGAACGCUGGCGGCAUGCCUAACACAUGCAAGUCGAACGAACCCUUCGGGGUGAGUGGCGCACGGGUGCGUAACACGUGGGAACCUGCCCUUAGGUUCGGAAUAACACAGAGAAAUUUGUGCUAAUACCGGAUAAUGUCUUCGGACCAAAGAUUUAUCGCCUUUGGAUGGGCCCGCGCAGGAUUAGCUAGUUGGUGAGGUAAAGGUUCACCAAGGCGACGAUCCUUAGCUGGUCUUAGAGGAUGAUCAGCCACACUGGGACUGAGACACGGCCCAGACUCCUACGGGAGGCAGCAGUGGGGAAUAUUGGACAAUGGGCGAAAGCCUGAUCCAGCAAUGCCGCGUGAGUGAUGAAGGCCUUAGGGUUGUAAAGCUCUUUUACCUGGGAUGAUAAUGACAGUACCAGGAGAAUAAGCCCCGGCUAACUCCGUGCCAGCCGCCGCCGUAAGAC
rnacentral:rRNA from 1 species